UCAGAACGAACGCUGGCGGCAGGCUUAACACAUGCAAGUCGAGCGCCCCGCAAGGGGAGCGGCAGACGGGUGAGUAACGCGUGGGAACGUACCCUUUACUACGGAAUAACGCAUGGAAACGUGUGCUAAUACCGUAUGUGCCCUUCGGGGGAAAGAUUUAUCGGUAAAGGAUCGGCCCGCGUUGGAUUAGCUAGUUGGUGGGGUAAAGGCCUACCAAGGCGACGAUCCAUAGCUGGUCUGAGAGGAUGAUCAGCCACAUUGGGACUGAGACACGGCCCAAACUCCUACGGGAGGCAGCAGUGGGGAAUAUUGGACAAUGGGCGCAAGCCUGAUCCAGCCAUGCCGCGUGAGUGAUGAAGGCCCUAGGGUUGUAAAGCUCUUUCACCGGUGAAGAUAAUGACGUAACCGAGAG
rnacentral:rRNA from 1 species